UACGUAGGGUGCAAGCGUUAAUCGGAAUUACUGGGCGUAAAGCGUGCGCAGGCGGUUAUGCAAGACAGAGGUGAAAUCCCCGGGCUCAACCUGGGAACUGCCUUUGUGACUGCAUAGCUAGAGUACGGUAGAGGGGGAUGGAAUUCCGCGUGUAGCAGUGAAAUGCGUAGAUAUGCGGAGGAACACCGAUGGCGAAGGCAGUCCCCUGGGCCUGUACUGACGCUCAUGCACGAAAGCGUGGGGAGCAAACAGG
rnacentral:rRNA from 1 species